rnacentral:rRNA from 1 species
UACGGGGGGAGCAAGCGUUGUUCGGAUUUACUGGGCGUAAAGGGCGCGUAGGCGGCCACCGCAAGUCAGUUGUGAAAUCUCUGGGCUUAACCCAGAAAGGUCAACUGAUACUGCGGGGCUAGAGUGCAGAAGGGGCAACUGGAAUUCUCGGUGUAGCGGUGAAAUGCGUAGAUAUCGAGAGGAACACCUGCGGCGAAGGCGGGUUGCUGGGCUGACACUGACGCUGAUGCGCGAAAGCUAGGGGAGCGAACAGG